rnacentral:rRNA from 1 species
GAUGAACGCUGGCGGCGUGCCUAAUACAUGCAAGUCGAGCGACCGGACGAUAAGCUUGCUUCUCUGAUGUUAGCGGCUGACGGGUGAGUAACACGUGGAUAACCUACCUCUAUUACUUGGAUAACUUCGUGAAACCGCUGCUACUACCGGCUAAUAUUUUCUACCGCAUGAUUCAAAAGUUAAUGACGGUCUUGCUGUCACUUAUAGCUGAAUCCGCGCUGCAUUAGCUAGUUGGUAAGGUAACGGCUUACCAAGGCAACGAUGCAUAGCCGACCUGAGAGGAUGAUCGGCCACACUGGAACUGAGACACGGUCCAGACUCCUACGGGAGGCAGCAGUAGGGAAUAUUGCACAAUGGGCGAAAGCCUGACGGAGCAACGCCGCGUGAGUGAUGAAGGUCUUCGGAUCGUAAAACUCUGUUAUUAGGGAAGAACAGAUGUGGAAGUAACUGUGCACAUCUUGACGGUACCUAAUCAGAAAGCAACGGCUAACUACGUG